rnacentral:rRNA from 1 species
AUGUCGGGCGACGGCAAUGGUGCUGGCUGGCUGCUGGUGGACACAUUUUGUGUCCGUGAGGCUGAGGCUUGUGCACGUCUUGUAAGGGACCGUUGGAUCCCUCCCGGUAAUUACCUUGAUGUUGCUGCGGUCGGGGACAAUGCCGACUUUGUGUUCUUGGAUCAUACAGCAAGUGGCACUCUCUUUUAUGUUCAUCUGAGGAGCAGGGUAGUUGAGAAAGUCCAUAAGAGGGUGCCAGAAAAAUGUUAUGUACCUCACCAAAUGGCUCUCUCUCCCAUUGUGAUGAUCUGGCCGCCUGUUUUCCCUGCACGAGAGGUAGGACAUGAUCAAGAGGAAUGA